UUCCCUCCAGUUUGUAGGAAGUUCAAUUUGUGAUGAAUCAGAUGUUUGUCUUUCCUCAGAACAUAAAUUCAUUUAUAUAGUGUGUAUCCCUAGACAUGAAAAUCUCUUUUUGCUAUCAAGCAGAGGGACAGUGCCCAAAGCCUUGUUACAUAGCAACCGUAAACUACUGUGUAAGAAAGUAUAACACUCACUUUAACACUGUAAAGUACUACUACAUGCCAUGACCAAAUUUAACAACACUAGUGCAUUUGGAUGCCGGUUAGAACUGUCUGAAGGUCUGCCAUUUGCUCAGCUUAAGCUUCGCCGGCUUUUGCCCAGCAGAGCCAUCAGCAUUAGCUUCUAACUCAGCAGAUCCUCCACGGUCUUCAUUCUUUUUAUGGUCCCGCUCCGACACUGCCUCGACCUUCUGCCGAGGAAGAUCAUUCUGGUACUGGCCGAGCAGAGCCCCGUUUUGGACUUCGUUGGAGGCCGGUUCAUUCUUGAAGGCUCUGUACACGUUCGGGUAUUGAGGGAUAUCGGGAUUGACGCUAAGCGUCUUUGAAAUUCUCGAGAUGUGUUCGAGGUAAUCAUCGGACGUGGUGUUCCAGCCAGGGAUGGAACUGGGAGUAUUUCCUAAGCUUCGACGCAUGUUUUCGCCUUUGCAGUGGUAUAGCGAAGGAACUUCCAUUUAUACGUGAAGGCGUGAGAUGCUUGUGCUAUAUUCUUGAAGUGACAUUGACGGCAUCUGAUUCCCUUUUCUAUAUUUGAAACAAGGAACAAGAACAUGUGCGGAACGUACCCAGAUAUAGGGCGGCGUCCAAGGCUCCUUGGAGAUUUAUUCCUUGACCGAUACGUCAUAAACUUGACACUUAAUCGUGUCAUAAUGCCCAGAUAUUUUUUUUUCCCUUUUUUGUCUCUAGAAGAUGCAUCACUUGGUUUUAAUAUCCUUUUAAAAGUACCAGAAAUAUAUUUGAGAGAUGAUAGGCGAUUCUGCGUAUUUCCUUAUUAUCCUAUAAAGCUUAUAGAUAGACCCGUGUAUUUUCAUUUGAUAAUGAACAGAAUAUUAUAUUUUUCUAUCAUUACAAUCUUCAACUCCAAUGUCGUAUGCGAUAGAUUUUAUCUAUAGCAACAAAAAGUAAAGAUAAACAAUACGGAUAAUCGAAGACAAUUUUGACCAAUAGUAAAUAUUCCCCUUGCUCAAAACCCACAAGAGAUUCAAUCUAAUCCACUAGUCAAAAGUCGUAUAAAGCUUGACCACUUGAUAUGUAGGAGCUCUGAAAGAGUACGUGAUGGACCCUUCAGCACCGCUGUGCCCUUGCUCGACGAGGUGACCGAUCCCGCGGAAAGCCACGGUCUCCAAGUCCAAAGCGGGCGAACCGGAGGGUGGAUUCACCGCCCACCUCUCGUCCGCGUCGUAGCAGAAUGGCCUGCUAGUUGAUGGGAAAUCAUGGGCAAUAGUUCCUCCGGGCCCUUUGAAUCUGUUCUCCAUGCCACAGGUGAGAUGGUAAUUAGAAGCCGGCCACCUAGCGAUUCCCCACAAUUAUCAAUGAGGGCAUGAUUAGAAGAAAAAAAUAGAAUCAUUAAAUCCCACAAUAGCCUAUCGAAAAUGCUAGUGCUGGUAUUUCUCUAAACUUGUCCAUAAAAAAUUCAUGAAAUGAUUUAACUUUUUCUCUGGAAUCUCUCAAAAAAGUUGUUCCAAACGAAUUCUUAGUAACUUCGCGAAUGUGCUUUUUGCCUUAUUCAAGCAAGGGCAGGGAGGAUGUUAGGAGUUUUGCAUGUUGUCUUAGAAUGUUUCUCACCAUUGUAAAUCCGAUCAUUUAAAGGAUUAAUAAUGUCUUGAAAGACUAAUUACGAUCCCAUGCCAUCCAAAAAACAAGGGACUGAUUCCAGAGGCUGAAGCAACAUCAGCCCGAGCAUUUAGCUUCUCCUAAUGUUUUCAACUUACUAUGUUCUUGAUUUCUAAAUUAGAAAUAAUAAUUAUAAAUAAAAAAAAAGACAAUCCUUAUACAUGUACGCCACGUUUCUGAAAAUUGCAAAAUAAUUCCUAUUUGUAAGAAUAAUUAUGACGAGUUAAUGUUUCGGUGUCUUGACUACACUGACACUUUAGAUUUGGUACUAUGCGAUUGGCCAUUUGGGGUUUCCCUCAAAGAAUUUGUAGUGGGACACCGCAUGGAAGGAGCCGAGGCCAGGGAGGUUCUGGCCUUUCUUGUUGGGCUCCAUCCAAGUGGUCCCAUUGACGAUAUCCGACACGCCACACCGCAGCAUCAUCAUUUUCAAAACCGUCUCAGGAUCCAAGGUUCUAGUAGCAUUUAGAUGAUGAUUGAGCUGAUAUACCUUGAUGGCAUCCUCUAGCAAAUCGUUGAAGUCGUCAUCACCGGUGUGGACUGAAUGUUCAGAUUGGUUGUAGUUCAAGCAGUGUUUAGAUGAUGAUUGAGUUGAUACAUCUUGACUACAUGCUCUAGCAAAUCGUCAAAGCCGUCAUCGCCAGUGUGGAUCAAAUGGUCAGAUUGGUUGUUCAAGUAAUCGAAUUUCUCAAGUUAUUGCUUGAGCUCGCAAAUACCUAGGGCGUGGUCGCCCUCGUGACAUCCCUCGAUGUGCUUGAGGAAAUCAAAGGCUGAUUUGGUUUGGACAUGGGAAUGUGCUAAAACGACAUGGAUGGUGAGAAGGAGGAGGAGCAAGUGGGAGAAGGUGGAAUGGGGUUUGUUAGGUCAUGUUUAGUGACGUUUCCAUUCCCCUAUUUUUCUAUUUUUUGUUUUAUUUUUUGAAACAAUAAAAAAAUAGAAAUUCAUUUGGAAAAGUCGACUAAUUUUUCUAUUUCCUGAAAUAGAUUAGUGGUCAAUGAAUAGAUUUAGAACAUGGAACCCUCAAUUUUUAUAUUCUGUCCCCAUAAAAGCGACAUACCCACCACUUUCCCCACUACUUUCCCUCUGAGCCAAGCCCUCAAUUUGCCCUCCACACCCUAACUCAUUUUUUCUAUUCUAUUUAUAGGUUUUUUCCAGUUGUGGAAGCAUAAGAAAGUUCUUGGCAUCGUGUCGCUCGCGGCCAUAACAGGGUCGUGAGGAGAGAGAGAGAACGAGUCAACUUUGUGAAAUGUUCAAGGUUAUUCACCACUUUUCAGGUCUUCGCAAAAUGACAAUCUAGAAAACGUGGUUACCGAUCUUCUGGAUGGUCUGGAUGCUAAUGAGAAGCUUCUGAGGGGUCGAGCAGACCCCUGCCUAACAAAAGACCUUCACAGUCUUCUCCUCUAUAGCUAUUAUCUAUUUAAUGCUUUCAUUAUAUUCCUAGCAAUGUUUAUAGUAUUGUCAUAUUGUUAUUUAGAAAAAUGGGCACCAGCAGCAAAUUCCAUGAACCAACAUAAACGCGUCGUUUAGAUUAUACAUUCGCUGGCUUUGAUUAUUCUAUUCACAGUGGACAGAAUAGAAUUGCUUUUGUUUUUCACCCGUUUGCUUUUUGUAAAAUUGUGCUGAAAGAUAUACAGUCAAAGCAAGCCGGUCUUGGUGACUUUGACUUUGACUUUGCCUUUGCUUCUCGGAGAAGUUAAUGUUGGCUUACUGGAGAUUGAGCAUGCUAAGAAGCUUCUUAGGAGCCCGUGAACGUUCGAAGUGAUUCUUGGCUCGCAAUCUAGUUCCAUUUACUUAAUAAUUAACCUUGAUUUUAAGAAAAACAUUAGAAAAUGGGGAUGAUAAUCGUGAGAAUACUAAUUAACGAUCCUGUUCAAUUCCCCUUGUACAAUUCCUCCCUCGCAACUGCUAACGCAGAAAAAUUCGGCUCCUUUCAUGUAUGAACGUGUUAGAUGUUGGAAUUUUGUUUGUUAAAACAAAAUGAGUGUUUUUUACUUUGUCCCACAUAGAAAAGGUGGGAGCAUGAGGGCCAGUUUAAAAAUGUGGGAUUUCCCUUUUGUAAUUAAAGGAGUGAUUAGGUGGGGCUAGACCCCACCAUACCCGCUUGCGGGUGCGCGAUUAUUUGGCGCCCGCGGUUUAAUUAGCAUUAAUCCCUUGCUUUUUAUUUAUUUAUUUUUAUUUUAAUUUAUAUUUUUUGGUUCAAAGGUUGCCUUUUAAUUUGAGAAUUUCGAAAAUGAAAUAUAAAUGAAAAUUCGAAAUUCUAUUUAAAAAAAAAAUUAUUCCGAAUUUUAUUUGUGUCUUUUCAAGAUCACCUUUGGAAAAUUACUUAUUCGGUUUUAAUUUUUCCGAAGGAUUGUAAUUGUUCGUUUUUCGACUUCUUCCGAAGAGUCGCAUUUGUUUAUCCGAACAAUUUUCUAAAGACGUGUUUGUUCGCAAUUUUCACGAAGAGUUGCAAGACUGUUUCUUAUAUAUACUUGUCAUUUUUCGGAAAGAAAAUGGUGGUCAUUUUCGAGUCUUCUUUAUGAAAAACUGCAGCCAAUUUUUCGAUUGUUUUCCUAGAGAGACCCUGGAGAAAUACUAAAAUUGCUAUUUAGUAUUCUCAUCCGAGACUUUGUUGUAUCUUGGAAGAUUUUUGCCGGUGACCAUUAGCAACGUUGUGGGGCAAAUAAAUCCUUAAAGAAAGUGAUAUCACGCCUCAAAGUCCGAGUUGUUUUACUCGAUCCGAUUUCAUUGUACUACCCAAUUUCGAAGCAUAUUUUCCUAACAUUAGACACCAAAAAAUGCCGAGUCUUUGACCAUUGACUCGGACUAGAAGAGAAUGAACACAAUUCGACAGAAGAAAAAUUGCCUGAGUGUUGAAAGCUUUUAGUUGGCAAAUUUAGUUAAUCGACGAGAAAACUAGUUUUAACUGACAGAAAAUACGAUUUAAGAUAAUUAAGUUUAGGAGUAUACUGGCGACAAGUAAGGUUGACUCUAUGACAAAAGGCCACGAAUGAUGUAGCUGUUGACAGAGUGAUGAUGGAGUAACCAUUUAAGUGUUGGAGCCAACAAUUUUGGAUGUAACUUGUCAUGAAGAUAACCGCAAAAGGGGAAACUUAAUGCAACCAUCGAGUAGUGGAGUGAAGUAGCGGAGUCAAGAAGUUCGUGAGAAACUGAUUGUGACAAUUGUAGAGAAGUGGAGGAGACAUAACUAUCGAAGUAAUGGGGAUGACACAACCGUUGAUGUAGUGAAGACAUAGCCAUCAAAAUGAAGUGGAUUCCUUUUGUAAAUAGAGAUUGCUAAAUUGUAAGUCAUGUAGGGUGUGUUUUUUUUUUUUUUACACUGUUGUUAACUAUCAGUAGCAGACUAGUAGGUACAGACACUUGUACUGUAGGGGAGAAGAGAAUGUUGAUUAAUUUAAAAACACUAGCUGUUUAAUUUUAUCUUCCUGUUUAUAUUUGAAUUUCCAGCACCUUUACAUGAUUAGACAAGAUUGUCUUCAUUCUUAGUACUUUUAACUUUCACGUCGUUUGUGUUGCCUAUCCAAGAAUUAAGAAAGGACCUUUCAUGUGGCAUGGUUUAUAUCUUUUCGUCAUUCGGAAAGGAUGGACUCAUAAAAAUAUUUGUCCUUCUGCCAAUUGUAUCCUAUAAGUUACAGUUUGGUAAGAUCACUCGGUUCUUGUACUUAGUUGCCUCAUCCGGUGUCUCUACUUCAAUUCUUUUGUUUACUACAUUCGCCAUUCCGUUGUAGGUCGAUCCGCUUGAGCUCCAAUUCAUUACCUACCCCCCCCCCCCCCCCCAAAAGUUUGUAGGGAGUUUACUUGGUGAUGAAUAAGAUGUUCAUCUUUUCUCAUAAAUGUAAAAUCAUUUAUAAAGUCUUCCUAGACAUGAAAAUAUCCAUUACUAGUACUAACCAAAAUUUGCUAUAAAGUGGGGGGAUAGUACUCAAAGCCUUGUUACAGAGCAAGUAUAAUACUAUAAAGAAACCAUGACGCUCACUUUAACACUAUAAAGUACUACUACAUGCCAUGACCAAAUUCAUUAUUCUUGCAUGAACAUUAGCGCAUCUGGAUGCCGGUUAGAACCGUUCGUGGAUCUUCCAUUUGCUCGGGCGAAAUUUCUACUUCUUUUGCUUAACAAAGCCAUUGCCAUAAGCUUCAAACUCAGCCAAUCUUCCACGGGCUUUGUUCUUUUUAUAAUCACUUUCCGACACUAUUUCGACCUUCUGCUGAGGAAGAUCAUCCAGACAGUGGCCGAGCGGAGCCCUGUUUCAAGCUCCGUUGAUCGGACACUACUUCAACCUUCUGCCGAGGAAGAUUGUUCUGGUUCUGGCCAAGCAGAGCCCCCUUUCGGAUUCAUUAAAGGUCCGCCCAUUCAUAAAGGUAAUCAUCGGAGGUGGUGUUCCUGCUAGGCAUACGCCUGGGAGUAUUGUCGAAGCUUUGAUGCAUGUUUCCUAGUUGAGGUGGUACAGUGAAGGAAGUUCCAUUUAUAGAUGAAGGGUGAGAUGCUUCUGCUAUGUUCUUGAGGUGACAUUAGUGGCAUCUGACUCCGAUUCCAUAAAGAUGCGUGGAUGGUACCCAGAAAUAUGGGGAUAUGGAAGGCGUCUUGGAGAUUGACGUUUUAAAGUUGAUGAUUAAUAGGGUUGACACACGUUAGAAGUGUUGGAGAAAUCCUCUUGAAGUGUUUUAAAGUUGACAAAACGUUUCCAUCGGUCUAGUCUGAAAGCUUGCAGACUCUGCUAUUUAAAGUCUGAAGACUUCCGGACAGCCAGACUCAAGACUCAAAGCCAGACUCUGCUCAUUGACAGUUUCUAAUCCGUUGAAGAAAGGCUAUCCAGAACUUGAUGUUUCAUUAAGGAUGUGACCUUAUCGACUGGAGAAGAUCUCUUUGCUGGACAUGACAUGAUGGAAUCCUUUAUUUGAUCAUAAUUGAUUCGAAGAUUAAGGAUCCGAUGAUUGGCAAAGUAUACUUGGAAGGUUCUACUUAUGGAAACCGAGAUCCUGAUUGUAUGGGCAAACAGGAUUGAUAGGCUAUCGACAUGUUCCUUUAAUAGCUCGAAUGAUCUUCCUAAUUGAUUCCGUCCAACGGGUAGAUUGGAGGAAUUCCUUUGGUAAGUGCGAACGGGUAUGAUGGCAUGAAGGAGUAUAUAAGGAAGACGUUCCAGUUGUUCGAGGGUGUGCACGAUAGAAGAAUUCCAAAGUCUGAAGCUCUUUGUUCUUAGUCAAUUCAUUUGUUGAGCGAAAUCUUGUAAACAAAAGAGAGUCUAUAUUUGUGAGAAACCUUGAGGAAGUGUGGUAGAACAUCUACACUGUGGAAUCAAGGAAAAGCUGUGUUGUAACUUCUCUUUUGUUCAUAGUGAAAUCCAGCCGGUGGGCUGUCAAUGCGGAAGAGUGGACGUAGGCUUGGAAUAAGCUGAACCACUAUAAACCUUGUGUUAAAUUUUCUCUUCUCUACUCUUUACUUUACUUUAAUCGUAUUAAAAGAGAACUUCAUUUCUAUCGUUUGCCUAGAAUCGCUUCCGUAUCUCGAGAAAUUAUUUGUGCACCUAUUCAUCCCCCUUUCUAGGUGCUUAUACUAGCUAUCUCAAUUGGUAUCAGAGCCUGUGUACUCACUUUGUUUGAAGUGUUUUACUUCAAAGUUAAAGAUCCAUGGCUAGUAUGUUGGCUCCAGGGCUGGUAGAAGGGCAAAGCAAUACCAGACCGCCUUACUUUGAUGGAAAUGAUUACAACAUAUGGAAAAACAAGAUGAAGGCGUUCCUAAGAUCAAAGGAUCCUCUGGAAUGAGACGUUGUAGAAAAAGGAAUCAUUCCUAAAGCUGCACCUAUCUCAGAAAGAGGAAAAGAUACUGUUGAGUCUAGCGAAAUGACUCAGGAAGAAAUAAUCAAGAGACAAGCUCUUGAUGCAAAAGCAAUUUAUUCUUUAUAUUGUGCUUUAUCUCCUACUGAAUAUAACAGAAUAUCUUCUUGUGUUACAGCUAAAGAAGUCUGGGAUAGAUUACAUAUUACCUAUGAAGGAACCGAUCGAGUGAAAGAGACUAGAAUCAACAUUCUCCUCGGUCAAUAUGAAGCCUUCAAAAUGAAAUCAGGAGAAUAUAUAACUGAUACGUUUAGUCGUUUUACAGAAAUCGUGAAUGGUCUUGAAAAUCACGGUCAACCAAUUUCUGAUCCCAUGAAGGUACACAAGCUACUGCGUAGACACUCCAAGGAUUGGAAUCACAUAAAGACCUCAAUCAGAGAGACCCAAAGAAUCAUGCCACUAUCUGUUGAUGAGUUGGUCGGAACUCUUCAGUCUUAUGAAGUGGAACGAAUCAAUGAAGACGAAGACCCUAAAGGUAAGAAAUCCAUUGCAUUAAAAUCUAAUGAUGAUUCUGAUGUUACAGAGUCUAAAGACGAUAUGGAUGAUGAGGAGCUUGCUCUCAUGAUAAAAAGAUUCAGAAAGCUGAACAGAAAAGGAAGAAGAUUCAAUCCAAAGAAACAAAGUUUUCAAAAGCAACAGACUAAGUUUGUUGAGGAUGAUGAAUCAAACAAAGAUGUAGUCUGCUUUGAAUGUAAGAAAAAUGGACACAUUAGACCCAACUGUCCUCUUCUGAGGAAGAAGAAAGGAAAGACUGAAAAGUAUCGAAAGGCUCUUAAAGCAGAAACCUGGAGUGAUACAGAGUGUGAAGAAAGUGAUGAUGAUUAUGCCAAUAUAUGUCUAAUGGCACAAUCGGAUUCGGAUUCAAACUCCGAGACAGAUUCAGAUUCAGAAAGCGAAUUUGAGGUAAGUAACUUCAAAAUCACUAUUAAAGUUUCAAAAUACAUUGAUGAAUUGUGUUUUAGUCUUAAGACUUCUCUUAAAAGAAUUUCCGAACUCAAGAAGGAAAACUCUGCUCUAAAACAACAGGAAAAUAUUUUAAAAGAAAAAGUGAAAUGUUUAGACAAGAAUGUUUCUUCUCUUAAAGAAAGUGAAGAUAAUCUUUUAAAAGAAAAUGCAUUCUUGAAAAGUGAUAUCUCAAAUAUUUCCAAAAGAUUUUCUAUAGGAUCUGAGAAACUAGAAAAAAUUCUCUCUGUUCAAAGACCUUAUUUCAAUAAAUCUGGUUUGGGAAUGACUGCUGAAACCGUUUCUUUAAUUGAUUUUCCUAAAGUAAAGGAAAGAAUCAAACAAAGACCCAUAAGAGAUGCUUACAAAAAUCAUUUUAAAAGAAUCUUUGUAAAACCAGUAGGUCGCAAUGCUCUCAGAUGCUCAAAGUGCAAUAGUGCAGAUCAUUUUGAAAAAGAAUGUCCUAUGAUUUGGAAACCUGUUAAAAAGGUUUGGGCAAAAACCGCAUAUCAUACUAACACCAAUGGACCCAAGAAAAUAUGGGUACCAAAGAAGGUUUGAGUUUCUUUUUUAAAUGCAGGUCACUAUCAAGAAAAAGGUAAAAUGGUAUCUGGAUAGUGGAUGCUCAAGACACAUGACAGGAGACUCAAAUUACUUCAUAAAGCUUAUUUGAGUAAAUGGUGGAAAAGUUUCUUUUGGAGAAAACGGCAAAGGAAAAAUUGUGGGAUUUGGAACUGUAAAGAUUGGAAACCUCACAAUCAGCAAUGUUUCCUUAGUGGAAUGACUUAAUUACAAUUUGCUCAGUAUUAGUCAACUAUGUGAUACUGGUUUCAAAAUCAACUUUCAAGAGAGAAUAUGUUCAGGAAUUAGUAAAGAUUCUACUCAGUCAUUCAUGGGUCGAAGAUAUGGAAAUAUCUAUCUCUUGGAUGUGAAACCAGAUGAAUCGCAAUGUCUAAUCUCAAUCCAAGACGAAGCAAACUUAUGGCACAGGAAGCUUGGGCAUAUCAAUAUGAAGCAGAUAGCCAAAAUUUCAGCAAAGAAGCUUGUUCGUGGUCUACCCAAUUUAUCAUACCAAAAGUCUGAUCUAUGUACACCAUGUAUAUUGGGAUAACAGGUGAGAAAUUCCUUUAAACCAAUAAAUCAAGUUUCAACUAAUCGUGUACUGCAGCUUCUGCAUAUGGAUCUUUUUGGACCAACCAGAACACAAAGCAUUGGAGGUAAGAAAUACUGCCUAGUAAUUGUGGAUGACUACUCACGAUUUACUUGGGUAUAUUUCUUAGCAAGUAAGUCUGAAACUUUCUCUUACUUUGAAAAGUUUGCUAAAAAGGUUCAAAAUGAAAAAUGGUAUGUUAUCUCGAGUAUAAGAACAGAUCAUGGAGGUGAAUUUGAAAAUCAUGAUUUUACAAAAUUUUAUAAUGAAUCUGGUUUUCAGCAUGUAUUCUCCUCUCCAUAUACUCCAGAGCAAAAUGGAGUUGUGGAAAGAAAGAAUAGAUCGCUUCAAGAAAUGUCUAGAACUCUUUUAAUUGAAAGUAACAUCUCUUCACGUUUUUGGGCUGAAUCAGUUUCAACAGCAUGUUACAUUAUAAAUAGAGUUUUUCUAAGGCCUAUUCUAGAAAAAAAAAAAAACCCCUAUGAACUAUUCAAAGAAAAGAAGCCUAUUGUUUCAUAUUUUCAUGUAUUCGGAUGCAAAUGUUUUAUACUGAAAAAUGCAAAUGAUCAAGUUGGUAAGUUUGAAGAAAAGUCAGAUGAAGGCAUCUUCCUUGAAUAUUCAACCACAAGCAAAGCGUACAGAGUCUACAACAAGAAAACUCAAACAGUGGAAGAAUCAAUGAAUGUUAAAUUCCAAGAUUCUAUGCAAAAUGAAUCCAUUCAGACUCAUCUUGAAGAAUCUGAACCUGCUCCAGACUCUACAAAGUCUAAAUCUCAGGAAAUAGCUCAGACUUUGAAGGACCAGCAACAAGUGACUGUUGAAGAUUCAAGUGAAGGAAGUGACCAUCAAUCUGACAAAUUAACCAGCAACUGGAAACAUAAGUCCAGUCAUCCCAAAGAUCUUAUUAUUGGAGACAUCAAUGAAGGAAUUCGCACAAGAUCCAAAAGGCGCGAAGAGUCUAGUGUUGUGGCUCUUAUUUCUGAAAUAGAACCCAAAAGUAUAGAAGAAGCUUUAUCUGAUGAAAGCUGGAUUGAAGCUAUGCAAGAAGAGCUCAAUCAAUUCAGUAUUAAUGAUGUCUGGGAAUUGACUCCUAAACCGAAAGGUAAGUCUGUUAUUGGAGCUAAAUGGGUUUUCAGGAACAAGAUGAACGAGAAAUGAAAAGUCAUAAGAAACAAGGCAAGACUCGUGGCCAAGGGAUACACACAAGAAGAAGGGAUAGACUAUGACGAGACUUACGCACCAGUAGCAAGGUUAGAAGCAAUUCGAUUAUUACUUGCUUUUGCUUGUUAUAAAAAUUUUAGGUUAUUCCAAAUGGAUGUCAAAAGUGCCUUCCUAAAUGGAUUCAUGCAUGAGGAAGUCUAUGUGGAACAACCACCUGGGUUUGAAGACCCAAGGAAACCAGACUCAGUAUUCAGACUCAAAAAUGCCUUAUAUGGCUUAAAACAAGCACCUCGAGCUUGGUACGACAGACUGAGUAAGUUUUUAAUUAAAAAUGGUUUUGUUAAAGGUAAAGUAGACACUACUCUUUUUAUUAAAAGAGAAAGUAAGAGUUUUCUGCUUGUUCAAAUAUAUGUCGAUGAUAUUAUUUUUGGAUCCUCUAAUGAAAGUCUGUGCAAGAAAUUCUCUAAGACCAUGCAGGAUGAAUUUGAAAUGAGCAUGAUGGGUGAGUUAACCUUCUUUCUUGGACUUCAAGUGAAACAACUGAAGGAAUGAACUUUUAUUCAUCAAGAAAAAUAUGCUAAUGAUCUUGUUAAAAAGUUUGGACUGGACAAUUGCAAAAAGGCUGAAAUACCAAUGUCAAGUUCCUUGAAGAUAGACAAAGAUGAAGGAGGAAAGAAAGUCGACCAAAAGUUAUUCAGGAGUAUCAUCGGUUCACUUCUUUAUCUUACUGCUUCUAGACCUGACAUUUUGUUUAGUGUUUGCAUUUGUGCCAGAUUUCAAGCAGACCCUAAAGAAUCUCAUUUAAAUGCUGCAAAGCGUAUUAUCAAAUAUAUUGCAUCAACUUCAAGCUUUGGUCUCUGGUAUCCUAAAAGGGGAGACUUUACUCUUCUUGGAUACUCAGACGCAAACUUAGCCGGAUGCAGAAUUGAUAGAAAGAGCACCUCAGGUACCUGUCAACUACUUGGAGGCAGGACGGUGUCUUGGUUUUCAAGGAAGCAAAGUACAGUAGCUCUCUCUACAGCAGAAGCAGAGUAUGUAGCUCUUGGAAGUUGUUGUUCACAAAUUCUGUGGAUAAAACAACAGCUAAGAGACUUUGGAAUUGAAGAUUCAUGCACGAAGAUUAAAUGUGAUAACACCAGCACAAUCAAUCUCACCAAAAAUCCAAUUCUUCACUCAAGAGCAAAGCAUAUAGAGAUUCGACAUCACUUCAUUAAAGAUCAUGUUCAAAAUGGAGAAAUUACGAUUCAGUUUGUUGACUCAAAGAACCAACUUACGGAUAUAUUUACAAAGCCUUUGGAGAAAAAUCAAUUUGAAAUUAUCCGUUCCAGACUCAACAUUUUGAGGUUUGAAGAAGUUAAAGUCUAGAGACUCUCAGACUUUGACUGCAAGACUUUGACUGUAAGUUAUUCUCUCUCUAAAUCUCAUCUUGAAAAGGUACGUUCAUCAACCAUGUUUGAUUAUUGUUAUCUCAACCGCUAUCUUUAAUUGACGAGAUUAUUGCAACGUUUCCUUUUGAAAAAUGAGUUAUUUUGAAAUGACCAUUUUUCGAAAAAGGCAGUUAUUUUUUUAAAAUGCAUCUUUUCACUUUCCAUUACGACGUUUGUUAUUCCCUCCUUUUGACUGUUUUAUAUACAGUCGGUUUCUCUUCGCUUAACUCCAAAACCCUAAAAAGCACCAAUCUUCCAUUCCUGUUUUCCUCUCUUAUUUAAUCUUCGAAAAAGUUGUCAUCUUUCUUAGGAAAGUCAAGCAAGGAAUCUUUCAAAGACUAAGAAAGAUGUCGUCUUCAAGAAAGUCUUCGAGGAUCGCAAGCAGGGGACCACGGCGAAUGAGUGAGGGGCCUACGCACUUCGAUCUCACUGAAGAAGAAGUGUCUCCAAAUCAGCAGCAGAGUCCACAACAUUCUCAGCAGCGUCAUUCUCCUCCAUCUAGACCUCAAGGUGUUGAUCAUCAACAAAAGGAAGAAAUCAUUGAAGAUGCAGAUCCUGUAAGAGUUCAAAGACCCUCUUUUAUUUAUAAGCUGUAUCGUGCUUUAAAAGGGACUGGUACUCCAUUGAACUAUGUCGAUGAUUUUCUUAAGGACAAAGGAUAUGGAAAUGAAUAUAUCUUUUUGCGAAAAAUGGAAAGUUUGAGAAUUGCUCGUAAAGGGGUGGCAGAAGAAACCCUUGCGAAUAUUCCAAGUGAUCCUCGUGAUUGGGGAUUUAAUCCGAUAGAUGGGAAUGAUGAUGACAAAUUGUACAACCAAUUUCAACCGAGAAUGGGUGUUGCGGUGGAAAAUCGAGGAAAAAGGGGAGAGUUGUUUAGAUCAAAGGAACAGAAUGAUCUAUACUCAAAACUGCUGAAGCGUGGGGUAAUAAACCCUAAGAGUGUGGAUUUUGAUUUUCUGGAUGUGAAUGUGAACUUGAGGGAAAAGUUCGGUUAUUUUCAACUUGAAAAAUUCUGCUCAGACACCACAGAGGCCUAUCCUCAAUUAACUGCAUAUUUCUAUUCAAAUCUUAGUUUCUUGGAUGCGAAUAGAUUCUCUUUCAGUGUCAAAGAUCAAGACUUUGUAGUGGAUAUGGAUAUGCUAGCAGAUGUGUUAGGAGUUGAGAGAGGAAGAUAUCAACGGAUCAAAGUAUCUAUUGCUCGUGCUACAUUGGAACUUGUUAAGGACAGGAGAACAGAGGAAAAGAUUUCUUACUCAAGGAUGAGUGCAUUCAACAUUUUGCUUCACAAGAUUGUGAUCAAUUGCCUCAGACCAAAAUCAAUUUCCAAGACUGAUGUUUCAAGUUCAGAGGCAAAGCUGAUGUAUGCCAUCAUCACUGGGAAAAUGUUUUCUCUUCCUCACACUAUUAUGUUCCACAUGUAUAAAGCAGUGAUGAAGGACAGAGGUCAACUUCUUUAUCCAAGUCUUGUGACGAAGUUAUUCAGACAUCUGAACACUCAGCCUCUGCAAAUUCUUUGUGCUCGAUCGUGCAAUCAUAUGGUGGUAGGACUGAAAAUGGUGACUAAAAUGUGUCUGAAGGAAUUAAGCAAGGCAUUGGAGAAAUUCAAGGAGAAGACUCCAGUCAAAACUCAUCCAAUCUCUUCUGCAGCAAAAAGAAAAGGGAAGGAGCCCAUGGAUGCUUCAUCCAAGAGAAGAAGAGCUCUCAUCAUUGAGGAUGAAGAUGAUGAGGAAAACAUCACUAUUUCUGCAAUGGCAUUGAAGAAUCUGAGUCGUUCUGUUCCAGAGAAAGACUCAGAACAGCGGACCAAAGAAAGAGAAGAGAAAGAAGCAGAGGAAAAAGAAACGGAGGAAAGAGAAGAAGAAGAAGAAGAAAGAGAUGCUGAGAAAGAGAGAGUUGAAAAAGAAGAAGAGGAGAAAAGAGAUCAAAAUGAAGGAGAACAUGAGGAGCACUCUUCUCCACCUAAAGGCAUGGAAAAAGGGGGAGAUCAAGAGGAAAGAGGAAUGCCCUCAUAUCCUGCAACCAGUGAGGGAGUCAGUCGCUCUCCAGCAGAUCCAGAGGACAUCUAUGCCUCUCAAUAUCCUGAGGAAGGUCAUGAUGUUUCAUCGCCAAAUCUGCGUGAUUAUGCUGAUAUACCAUCGUCUGCAUUUACUCCAUCAGAUCGUGCCGACGCCAGUACGCAGACCGAUAAUUCAGCAGAUUUUCGCAGAGUUAUGGAUAUUCUCUUGGAGAUGCAAGGUCAGAUAUAUGCAUUGGGAUGCGAAGUUCAGAACUUGCAGAAUGCAGGUCAAGCUUCUUCGGGUUUAUUGGAUGAUCAGAUCCAAGCCCUUUCUCUUCAGAUUCAAGCUAAUGCUAAGGGUGAGGAUGUUGCACAACUGAAAGAAGACUUGAAAAGGCUAGAAGGCAUCGUUCAGUCAAUGGGAGAUUUCCAGUUUGUUCGUGUUCCCAAGCAUUCUUGACUCUACUCCAUUUUCAUCUCAACCUUUCUUUUUUAUGCUGACAAAAAGGGGGAGAGAUGUGAGAUUUGAAAAACUUUGAACUUAAAUUUGUCGAGCUUUUGGCUUGUUUGGUUUGUGGUUUGUUUUGACUUGACUUGCGUGUCUGGAUGUGGACUAAAUUUGGGAUUUGGAUUUGACUGCUUAUAUUAUUAACUACUAUUGAUAUCUUAUGGAUGGCUUUAUUGCAUACUAGACUAACCUAUUUUCUGUGGUUGCAGAUUCUAGUGUUAUUCAUUUAGCCAUUUAUCUCUAUAAGAUAUGCAUAUGUGUUUGAGAAAUGUUUUGCAGGUCAAAGUUUUCCAAAUCUGCAGGAAAGUUUUGUCACCAUCAAAAAGGGAGAGAUUGUUGGAGAAAUCCUCUUGAAGUGUUUUGAAGUUGACAAAACGUUUCCAUCAGUCUAGUCUGAAGGCUUGCAGACUCUGCUAUUUAAAGUCUGAAGACUUCCGGACAGCCAGACUCAAGACUCAAAGUCUAUUCUCAUUGACAGUUUCUAAUCCGUUGAAGAAAGGCUAUCCAGAACUGGAUGUUUCAUUAAGGAUGUGACCUUAUCGACUAGAGAAGAUCUCUUGGCUGGAUAUGAUAUGAUGGAAUCCUUUAUUUGAUCAUAAUUGAUUCGAAGAUUAAGGAUCCGAUGAUUGGCAAAGUAUACUUGGAAUGUUCUACUUAUGAAAACCGAGAUCCUGAUUGUAUGGGCGAACAUGAUUGAUGGGCUAUCGACAUGUUCCUUUAAUAGCUUGAAUGAUCUUCCUAAUUGAUUCCGUCCAACGGGUAGAUUGGAGGAAUUCCUUUGGUAAGUGCCAACGGGUAUGAUGGCAUGAAGAAGUAUAUAAGGAAGACGUUCCAGUUGUUCGAGGGUGUGCACGAUAGAAGAAUUCCAAAGUCUGAAGCUCUUUGUUCUUAGUCAAUUCAUUUGUUGAGCGAAAUCUUGUAAACAAAAGAGAGUCUAUAUUUGUAAGAAACCUUGAGGAAGUGUGAUAGAACAUCUACACUGUGGAAUCAAGGAAAAGCUGUGCUGUAACUUCUCUUUUGUUCAUAGUGAAAUCCAGCCGGUGGGCUGUCAGUGCGGAAGAGUGGACGUAGGCUUGGAAUAAGCCGAACCACUAUAAACCUUGUGUUAAACUUUCUCUUCCCUACUCUUUACUUUACUUUAAUCGUAUUAAGAGAGAACUUCAUUUCUAUCGUUUGCCUAGAAUCGCUUCCGUAUCUCGAGAAAUUAUUUGUGCACCUAUUCAUCCCCCCUUCUAAGUGCUUAUACUAGCUAUCUCAAGAAGAAGCAUCGCUUGGCUUUCAAUAAUAUCUUUGCGAGAACUAGGAUUGAGCUAUAAAGGACCCUUCGAGAUGAAUCGGGUGGCUUUACUUAUACAUUGUGUAGAGUGUCAAGAUUCUGAUAAUAGCUUGUGAUGGUACGGUUGCGACUAGUUCAAACUUCACAAGCAAAAUCCCAUCCUCCAUAUUGUAGAAGGGAGUCAAAAUUGUAUAAGAUACAGUAUAUGGAUUGUAGCGGACCUUAAAAAUAAAUGAUACGUAUAAAUCGAAGGAAAUUAUGACCAAAUAGUAAAUGCUUCCCUUGCUCAAAACCCACAAAGAGAAUCAAUUCAAACCCCUAAUCAAAAGUUGUAUAACGCCUUGAUUCCUUGAAUAUCAUCCGCAUGGAGACCUUUGGUAGUCCCAGGAGCUAUGGAGGAGUACAUGAUGGCCCCUUCAACAUCGCUGUGCCCUAGCCCAAGGAGGUGACCGAUCUCGUGUAAAGCCACCGUCUCCACGUUAAAAGCGGCCGAGCCGGAGGGUGGAUCAACGGCCCACUUCUCAUCCGCGUCGUAGUGGAACAGCCCGACUGUUGGCGGAAACGCGUGGGCAAGAGUUCCUCCGGGGCCAUCGAAGCUGUUGUGUGCACCGUCUCCAUGGUCUCCUCUUGCAAACCCUAUCUGUAUGUUGGCAAUUUCAUGGUCCUCGACGUACGAGAAAGUGAAGCGUGUCACCGAGGUCCACGUGGCAAAAGCCCGGGCAACUGGGGCCGUGGCAGCCUCUGGGGUCCCUGGGAGGAAGCCAUAGGUGAGAUGGUAAUUAGAGGCCGGCCAUCUAGGGCUUCCCUCCAAGAACGCAUAGUGAGACACGGUAUGGAAAGAUCCGAUCCCACGGAGGUUCCGCCCUUUCUUUCCGAACCCCAUGCGGGUGGUUCCAUUAAUGAUGUCCGCCACGCCGCAUCGUGGUCUCAUCAUUUUGGACGUAGUCUGGGGAUCCAAAGUUCCCGUGACAUUCAGAUGAUAAUUGAGUUGGUACGUCUUAACAGCAAAUUCUAACAGUCGUCGAAGUCGUCGUCGUCGGCAUGGAUUGUCGGAUGACCGGAUUGGUGUAUUCAAUACCAAAUUUCUCGAGGUAUCUCUUGAGCUCGCGAAUGCCUCCGGUAUGAUUGCCCUUGUGACAUCCCUGAAGGUGCUGGAGGAACUCAAAGGGCGAUUUUAUUUGGUCAUCUGAAUGUGCUGAGGCGGCGUGAAAGAGGGAAGUGAGGAGGAGCAAGUAUGAGAAGGUGGAAAAGAACAUAGCAUCCAUGGCUGAACUGAUGAACGCGCACUCUUCUAGCAGAGAAUGAAUGUUUUAUGCAUUGUUGCCGUAUCGAAGGAGGCCUAUUUAUGGAUACAUGUCCCUUUUGAGGUGUAGCAGUAGCUAGGUCAUAAGGUCCCUUCGAAAUUGAAAUGUUCAUGAAUGGAAGAAACCGCAAGUACGUACUAACAGACAACGACCGCAUCGAUCUUCGAGAAAAACGCGUAUAAGACUGGGAAUUCGAGGAAAGAAACCCUGAGUACGGUACUAAAAACGACCUUUACUAGGUCUUUGAGAAGAAGACGUGUAAAACUGGGAACCGAAGAAGUAAUAUUGUUAGAACUCAAUUGUUAAUUUUAUGUAUUUCAUAGAGAAAGCCUCGCAGACACCUAGUCUUUGAUCCCCACUUAAGUAUCGCGAGCCAAACACAAUGCUAAAGCAUUGUGUUAUAUAAUUCAAAAGAAUCGACACGUGGGAUUCCUAUAUUGCGUGUGAAAAGCCACAAAUGCUGUAUAGGUGCAUUCUAUUUUCAUUAAAUGCAAGUAGUCCCUGUACUUUCUAAUAUGUAAUAUAGUUCCCAAACUUUAGUAUAAUGUACAAUGUUAUUUUUAAACUUUUAAUUUGUAUAAUAUAGUUCUUAAACUAUUAGUAAAUGUUCAACAUAAUCAUUUUGUUUGCAUGAUUUUCAUGGAAUUUAGGUACUAAAUUGAAUAUUUACCAGUAGAUUAAGGACCACAUUGAACUAACUAAAAGCUUAAGGAUGAUAUUAUACAUUGAACCAAAAUUCAAGGACUACAUUGAACAAAUUAAAAGUUCAAAGAUGACAUUGGACAUUUAAUCAAUUUUCAAGAAUCAUUUACGUAAUCAUCCCUUCCAUUAAAGAUGCGGUGUACGGCCGAUGAUAGUGCAAAUCAAUCUAUAAAAAAAUUUGUGUUUUUAGUGGGACCCUCUAUGAAUUCUAUAUCUCCUAAUGCGAUUAACUUGAUUGAGGAUAAGGCAAUGUUGAGAUAACUAAUUAAUCAUCGGUCUACUAUCAUAUGGAGCAACAGCCACCGCCCCUCAGCAUUGUUUUUUUUUUUUUGUUUUCUUUUUUUUUGGGGGGGGGGGGUUUGGUAAAGGAAGUUUAAUUGAACCAAAACGGUCUUAAACAUUCAGGCUUACAAUAGGAGCAUCAAGACAAAGCAAGUCCCACAGUGGCUGAGGGGAUGUGCUACCCAAUUAGGAAGUAAAAGGUUGAGUUUUUAAGUUUAGCAACCCAAUCCUUUACUCGGUUAUUCUCUACUACAAUAGAUGAUCGUCGGAUUAAUAAAAAGGCCCAUUAAGUUACGGGCUCCCGAGAUAAGCACGUUGACUUUCCAAGGCAAGUGAUCUGCUGCGCUCUCACUAGAUCAACUAACACCAAGCAAUCUGACUCCAGCUGCAGCUGUUCUUCACUUCUAGACACAAGGAGAGAGAGGGCUUCUGGCAAAGCAACGGUUUUCGCCUGUAGAGUAGAAGACACCGAUACUAUUUUGGCUGCUCUGUUCAAGAGAUUCCCCAACUCAUCACGAACGACGCAAGCUAUGGCUCUAGUGAUCUCUCCUUCCUCAUACAAUCCAUCACAAUUCACCUUUAAAGUUCGCCCCUUUGGUGGAAUCCAACUUUGAGAUAAGUUCCUCUUCUCUACUUGACUCGUCGAUUGCUCAAGGUUCCAUCGUCUCCAGUUGUUGAGCAUAUUGUGUGUUGAUUCCACUAGAAAAAUUGGAUUGGAUGCUGGUUGCGAAAAACAAAAUCACAUCUUGCCUUCCCGAUAAAUCACAGGACACUUGCAACCAUCUUAAAGGAAGCUGAAUGCUUAAUUCUCACUCCAAAUUGCUGUAUCCAAACAUCAAUUCUUGACAGCCCUUGCCUUAAGAUUAUAAUAUGUAAUGCAGGGUAACUCCAUAUCCGUGAAGUCCAGGAACAUAGCAAGAAUAGGUGCUCUACCGUCUCGGCUUCUUGUUUACAGAAUGGACGUGUGGGUCUUCUGAAUUAGUUUUCUCUAGUAGGUAUAGCGUUCUGACAUAUACUCCAUGUGAAUAUUCUGACCUUGGGAGGGGUUUUCAUGUGCCAAAUUUUGUUCCAAAGCUCAUGAGGUGGCUGAGUAUGCGUUGAUGUUUGCUUUUUCGUGUUGUGAAUGGUGGCUGUUUUGUCCACAUAUACACGCUCUUCACUAUGAACCGGCCUAUUUCUGUAUCAAUCCAUACUAACUCGUCUUGUGUGCUCUGAUUUCUCAGUAGGAUUGUUAAUAUUUCGUUAACAAUUUGGACAUCAAAUAGACAGUGAAGGGUCCGUUCGUCCCAUCGAAUCUCUUCUUUCAAAAUCAAAUCUACAACUUUUGCUAGUUCUCCACAAUUUGCUAGCCCCUAAUGAUUCCUCUUUUGAGCCAUCUAUCUUCUUGAAUCUCAUAUUUGUUAUGAAAUUGUACGUCGAUUCCAGAAAAAUAAUGUUCGGAAACAAUUCACCAAGCAAAAUAUAAUAAUAAAAUAAUAGAAUCAGAUGAACAUGCCAGAAAAUUUGUUAUUGAAGUUCAUCCAAACCUAGGCUACAUCUCCGCGCAGAGGCACUCUGCGAAUCCACUAGACUUCAAAAAAAGUUGGAAUAUAACGACGAUCUUCUCUUAAGAUCAGGGCACAAAGAGAUUGAGAACCCUCAUCAAGAAAAAACUCACUUUUUUCUUCUCUCUUUUUCUUGCCUCUCUAUUUCCUUUUUCAGCGUCUUGACGGCUAGGGUCUUGCCAUCGCUAAUAUAAAGAUACCACUUUUAACCUAAAAGGAAAUCUAAUAAAAAAGAUAAAAAAAAGCCCCUAAAAACAAAUAUUUGGCUUCAUCUAUAACAAUCUCCUACUUGAAGACAAAUAUACCCAAGCACCAAGCAACUUUGUAUUCAUCUUCUUCAAAAAAAAAAUAGUUGAAAAACUUGUACCUCUGCAAUACUCGUCAUCAAUCAGCAUGGAGUAAUACCAAUGGUAGUAGUACAGAAAAUAUGAUUCUCUCUGCCUAUUACCUUGGUUAUCAUGUUAGCUGGAUUCUUCGAGCCAUCAAUCUUCUGUAGUUUUAACUCAUUAUCUUUCAAUGCUGACCUGAUAAAGUGAUAACGUUUCUUGAUAUGUCUAGUCCUUGAGUGAUAAGCUGCAUUCUUUACUAAGUGCACUGCACUUUGACUAUCACUCCACAGUGUGCCGAUUGGCUGUUUUCGAUGUAACUCCUCCAUAUAAUCUUGUAACCAUAUGAUUUCCUUGGAGACUUCUGUGAUCGCCACGUAUUCUGGCUCUGUUGUUGAUAAAGCCACUACUUUUUGUAAUUGAGACACCCAACUCACUACUGUACCUGCAACUGUAAAGACAUAUCCAGUGGUACUCUUAUCACUAUCUCGAUCACCCGAAUGAUCUGCAUCUACAUAACCCUGCAACUUUAGAGAUGUACCACCAUAACAAAGUGAGCAAUUGAAAGUACCUACUAGAUAUCUCAAUAUCCAUUUUACUGCAUUCCAAUGCUCUCUGCCUGGGUUUUGCAUAUAUCGACUCACAACUCCCACUGCAUGUGCAAUAUCUGGUCUCGUGCUCACCAUGGAAUACAUCAAACUCCUCACUGCUGAUGCAUAUGGAACUACCGCCAUCUCAUCUUUCAAAGCAUGAGCGCUUGGACACAUAUCCUUGAAAAGUUUGAAGUGACUCGUUAGAGGAGUUGCAACUGGUUUUGCUUUAUUUAUGUUAAAUCUCUUUAACACAUUGUUCACAUAGUCUUCCUGUGACAACCAUAAUUUCUUAUUUUUCCCAUCCCUGAUGAUUUUCAUGCCUAAAAUAUUCUUGGCCUCUCCCAAACCUUUCAUAGCAAACUGUGAUGAUAACAUCUUCUUCACUUCUAUGAUUCUCUUCAUAUUGGAACUAGCCCCUAAUAUGUCAUCUACAUAUAAAGAGAGAUACACAAUAUCAUCAUCAUCAUCAUACUUGCGAAAAUAAACACAGUGAUCAAACUCACAGUGUGCAAAUCAUUUUUCUUGCAUGAAACCAUCAAAUUUUAGGUAUUAUUGCCGCGGAGCUUGUUUCAAGCCAUACAAGCUUUUCUUCAAGCAACAUACCAUGUGCUCCUUACCUUUGACUUCAAAACCUUUAGGUUGUGCCAUGUAUAGUUCUUCAUCUAAGUCACUGUGUAAAAACACUGUUUUUACGUCUAACUGCUCAAGAUGAAGAUCCUCCACUACAACUAUACUCAGCAGAACUCUAAUUAAUGUCAUUUUCACUACAUGCGAAAAUAUCUCGGAGUAGUCGAUCCCUUCUUUUUGAGAAAAGCCCUUGAGUACAAGUCUCACCUUGUAUCUAAUACUACCAUUUGCUUCAUUCUUAACCCUGUACAUCCAUUCGUUUAAUAAAUCUUUUUUACAUGUGGGCAACUUGGUCAACUCCCAAGUUUUGUUCUGAAGUAACGAGCUCAUCUCGUCUUUCAUAGCACACUCCCAUUGCAAGUGAGACGUGUCUGCAUUUGCCUCAUCGUAAGUCUCCAGUUCCCUUGAAUCUGUAUAUAAGACAUGGCUCAGAACAGUAUUAGCUGAUGGAUCAAAAAUUACCUUUGGCUUUCUCACACGUGUAGACCUUCUCAAGACAGGUACUUCAGGGUCAUUCAUUUGCUCCAAAUCACUGCGUUCUUCUUGAACUACCUCUUCACCAAUAAUAGGCUCAUCUUGAACCUCUCUUUCAAGUGAACUUCGAUCUAUUGGAAAUAUCUUCACGAGCAUUGUGUCUAAUUCAACAUAUUCUGGUUGUACUACCUUCUCAUGUUCUGUCUCUGUCUGACGAUCCUUGUACAUCUUUUCUUCAUGGAAUACCACAUUGCGAUUGCGGAUGACUUUGUUAUUCUCAUAAUCCCAUAGCCUAUAGCCAUACUCGUCGCCACCGUAUCUGAUAAAGACGCACUUCUGGGACUUAGCAUCAAGCUUUUUCCUAUCCUCCCUAUCAAUCAAAGCAUAUGCAAUACAACCAAACACUUUUAGAUGUGAAUAAUUAAUCUUUUUACCUAACCACAGUUCUUGUGGUAUUUCUCCAUCCAACGCACUAGAUGGACUUCUGUUGAUAAGAUAAACAGUUGCAUUAACUAUGGCGGCCCAUAAGUGUAGCGGGAGACUCGCAUGUAGCCUCAUGCAUCUCGCACGUUCUAGAAUAGUCCUGUUCAUUCUUUCAGCUACACCGUUUUCUUGAGGAGUUUUAGGAACAGUCUUUAACCCGUGUAUGCCUUCUCGACUCAGAUAAUCUGCAAAUUCUUUACUUGUGUAUUCACCACCAUUAUCAUACUUCAUAGCUUUAAUCUGAUAAUCUGUUUCUUUUUCUACCAUGGUCUACCACAUUCUAAACAUCCCGAAUACUUCUGAUUUUUCUUUAAGAGUAUAGACCCAAGUCUUCCUUGUUGCAUCAUCAAUGAAUGUGACGAAAUAUCUCUUACCACCAUAAGAGAGUUCUUGAGCAGGUCCCCAUACAUCAGUAUGAACCAACUCUAGCUUAUGGCCUUUAUUUUGUCGUUCAUUCAAUUGAAAACUAACAGCCUUUUGUUUUCCAUAAAUGCAACUCUCAUGAAAAUCUAACUCAACUUUUUGCAAACCUGGGAGUAAUUUUCUCAAGUGUAACUGCUUUACACAUUUUUCACCGAGAUGUCCCAAACAAUAAUGCCAAAGAGUAGAUAAAUUACCUGUAACCAUUGUAGUUGCAACCAUAUCACUGAUAUUGUCUCCUUGGAGAAGGUAAACCGUACCCAUACGCUUUCCCUUUGCUACUACUCUUACCCCUGAGGUUAUCUUCCACUCUCCAUAGCCAAAGAUUAUUACCAAACCUUCUUGGUCAAGUUUACUAGUUGAAAUCAGAUUUUUCUUUAAUUUCGGAAUAUGCCUAGUUUCACGCAAAACUAGACGUCCUCCACCUGAGAUGUUCACAGUAACAGUUCAUUUCCCAACAAUUGGACACAUGUGGCCAUUUCCCACAACCACUUGUCCAAAAUCUCCACUGACAUAAUCCUCAAAUAUGUCUCUUUGCGAGGUGCAAUGAAAAAAAAAUACCAUAAUCAAUAAACUAUUUAUCUGUUAUCAAGUCAAACCCUACAGACAAACACAAGUUAUCUAGCAAAGAUUCAUCGCUAACUACAUUAGCACCUUGAUUCUCAUCUUGCUGCUUCUUUUUGUAGGCUUCACACUGAAACCUCCGGUGUCCGGUUUUGUGACAAAACCAACACUCAUCUUUUGCAAUCUGUCUCAUACCCCUUGAUUGUGAUCUGCCACGCCCGCUGAAAUUUCCUCUACCUUUACUUCUUCCACGGUUCUCCACUGCAAGUGCCGUUGAAGAUGUAGAUGCAGAAAAAUUAUCUCCACCUGAGACUUUCCUUCGCAUCUCUUCAUCUAUGAUACUACUCACAGCAUCAUCAAGAGUUAAAUCAUCCUUCAUGGUGCUCAAAAUUCCCUGCACUGCGGUAUUGUAGCUUUCUGAAAGAAAACAUAAAAAUAAUAAAGCUUGAAGCUUCAAAUCUAAAUUUAUGCUUGCGGAUUCCAAUUGACCUGUGACCUGUGUUAAACUAUUAAUAUGCUCUGCCACAGAACCUCUAUCAGAUAACUUCAUAAUAACCAGUUUCUUCAGCAAAAAUACCUGAUUUGAUGUGGACGGCUUUUCAUAAAUAUUCAUUAGAAUAUCCAUGGCUUCUUUUGUAGUUUUUGCUUUCGCCAUGUGGUACCCUGUCUUUUUCGUCAACCCUAGACAAAUCGCACCUAAUGCCUUUCAAUCAAGAAUUUUCCAUUCGGCUUCUGCUGUCGAAUCCAAUUCCGCCAUCUCGGGUUUCCAACCCUCAAAUGGUGCAGAGAUCUUUUUGAUAAAGGUAAUCAUCUAUUUGUAGUUUCCACCAUCCAAAAUCCUCUCCAUUGAACUUAUCGAUUCUAAUUUUAUCUUCUGCCAUACUGUUUGCUUUCAAUUGAACGUCACCGAAAAACCCUCGAUGUUCUUGAUUAGCCAACCCAGGCUCUGAUACCAGUUCUUACGAAAGUACAUCAAUUCCAGAAAAAUAACGUUCGCAAACAAUUCACCAAACAGAAUAUAAUAAUAAAAUAACAUAAUCAGAUGAACACGCCAGAAAAUUUGUUAUCGAAGUUCACCCAAACCUGGGCUACAUCUCCACGCAGAGGCACUCUGCGAAUCCACUAGACUUCAGAAAAAGUUGGAAUACAAUAACGAUUUUCUCUCAAGAUCAAGGCACAAAGAAAUUGAGAACCCUCAUUAAGAAAAAACUCACUUUUUUCUUCUCUCUUUUUCUUGCCUCUCUAUUUCCUUUUUCAACGUCUUGAUGGCUAGGGUCUUGCCAUCGCUAAUAUAAAGAUACCACUUUUAACCUAAAAGGAAAUCUAAUAGAAAAGACAAAAAAAGCCCCUAAAAAUAAAUAUUUGACUUCAUCUAUAACAAUAUUUUCACUUGUUCUUACUGACCACAUCACUAAAUGCGAAAUAGUUUUGCGACCCAUUAAAAUGUUCUGCCAAUCCCAUGAGGGUCGUGAGCCUUUCCUUGCGUUCCAAAAAGAACAUUGAGGGAAAUAAAUUUCUUUCAAGAUCAUAAAGACGAUGAAUUUUGAGCUAACCUCCAAACUUGUUUCCCUAGUAAAGCUUCGUUAAAGGAGAUCAAAUCUCAAAAUCCCACUCCUCCUGAAUAUUUCCUCAUUUUUAACACAUCUCCCUUCUUCCGAUGUUGUCCAUCUUCUGAUUCACUAUUCCUCCACCAAAAAGCAGCAACUUUUUCCUCAAAGGUUUGGUGCAACAAAAUAGGAAUUUUAAAAAUUGAUAUAGCAUAUUGUGGCAAGCUUGUACUAUAGCCUUAAUUAAUAUUUCCUUCCCCGCUUUUGAGAACAAGUUCUCCUUCCACCCCUCGAGCUUUAUAUUAACUUUGGCUAGAAUCCAAGCAAACAUAUGCAUUUUAGAAACUCCCCAAUCAAACGGGAUCCCCAAGUACUUCCUUUCUUUUCUACUUCAGGCACUCUCAACUCAUUGCCCAUAAUUCUUCUCAAAUUCUGUGGACAGCCCACACUAAAAGAAAUACUAAACUUGUUUAAGUUAAUUGCUUGCACAAAAGCAUAGCAAUUUUAAUUCAGAAUCCAAGCUAAGUUCUGGCACAUUUUCACCUUUCCAUCCAAGUAGAAAAUCGAGUCCUUAGCAAAUAAGAGGUGUGAAAGAACAGGACAAUACUUGUUAAGUUUGAUCCCUCUAAUUGUGAAAGACCACCCGGUUCCUGUACUUAGAUGCUUCAUCCAAUCUCUCUACUUCAAUUCUUUAGUUUACUAUAUUUGCUAUUCCCUUGCAGGUCGAUCCGUUUAAGCUCCAAUCCAUAACUUCCCCCCAGUUUGUAGGAACUUUAAUUUGUGAUGAAUUAGAUGUUCGUCUUUCCUCAGAACAUAAAUUCAUUUAUAUAGCAUGUAUCCUGAGACAUGAAAAUCUCUUUAUGCUAUCAAGCAAAGGGACAGUGCCCGAGGCCUUGUUACAUUGCAACUGUAAUUUUCUCGUCGUUUGUGUUGCCUAUCCAAGAAUUAAGAAAGGAUCUUUCAUGUGGCAUGGUUUAUAUCUUUUUGCUAUUCGGAAAGGACACUCAUAAAAAUACUUUGUUCUUUUGCCAAUUGUUUCCUUAAGUUACAAUUUAGUAAGAUCACUCGAUUACUGUACUUAGUUGCCUCAUCUGGGAGUUUGGGACACCUAGAGUGCCAUAACUUAGCACGGGAGGACACUUAAGUACCAUAACUUCAAAAUGGUACACUUGAAUGCCAGUUUCGAAGUUAAAUGAAACACUUAAGUGCCACUCCAGCGAAAAUCCGACCAAAUGGCUGACGUGGCAAUUUUCCGACGAGUUUGGUCCAAAACGGCGUCGUUUUGUACGCUAAUGUGGCGAGAAAAUGCAAAAACGACGUCAUUUCGUGUUUGACGUGUAAAUAAUAAUAUAAAAAUUAAUUAAAUUAGAUUUAAACUUAAUUUUAUUUAAAAUAUUCUAAAAUUUUUUUUUUUAAAAAAGGAGGUUGGAGGGGGCGGCUGANNNNNNNNNNNNNNNNNNNNNNNNNNNNNNNNNNNNNNNNNNNNNNNNNNNNNNNNNNNNNNNNNNNNNNNNNNNNNNNNNNNNNNNNNNNNNNNNNNNNAGUUUGACAAAUACUAUAGAAUAUUUUAAAUAAAAUUAAGUUUAAAUCUAAUUUAAUUAAUUUUUAUAUUAUUAUUUACAUGUUAUACACGAAACGGCGUCGUUUUUGCAUUUUCUUGCCACGUCAGAGUGCAAAACGACGCCAUUUUGGACCAAACUCGUUGGAAAAUUGUCACGUCAGCCAUUUGGCCGGAUUUUCGCCGGAGUGGCACUUAAGUGUUCCAUUUAAUUUCGAAACCGGCACUCAAGUGUACCAUUUUGAAGUUAUGGCAUUUAAGUGUCCUCCCGUGCCAAGUUAUGGCACUUGGGCUGUUCUUCUACCCCUCAACUGGUGUCUUUACUUCAGUUCUUUUGUUUACUACAUUCGCCCUUCCAUUGCAGGUCGAUCCGCUUGAGCUCCAAUUCAUUACUUCCCACCCCCCCUAACUCCUACCAUGAAAAAAAAAGAAAAAGAAAAAAAGAAUCAUUUAUAAAGUCUUCUUAGACAAGAAAAAUCUCCAUUACUAGUACUAGCCAAAAUUUGCUAUGAAGCAGGGGAUAGUACUCAAAGCCUUGUUACAGAGCAAGUAUAAUAAUAUAAAGAAACCAUAACGCUCACUUUAACACUAUAAAGUACUACUACAUGCCAUGGCCAAAUUCGUUAUUCUUGCAUGAACAUUAGCGCAUCUGGAUGCCGGUUAGAACCGUUUGUGGAUCUUCCAUUUGCUCUGGCGAAAUUUCACCUUCUUUUGCUUAACAAAGCCAUUGCCAUAAGCUUCAAACUCAGCCAAUCUUCCACGGGCUUUGUUCUUUUUAAAAUCCCUCUCCGACACUGUUUCGACCUUCUGCUGAGGAAGAUCAUCAGACAGUGGCCGAGCGGAGCCCCGUUUCAGGCUCUGUAGAUCGGCACCGACACUGCUUCAACCUUCUGCCGAGGAAGAUUGUUCUGGUUCUGGCCAAGCAGAGCCCCCUUCCGGAUGCAUUAAAAGCCCGCCCAUUCAUAAAGGUAAUCAUCGGAGGUGGUGUUCCCGGCAGGCAUACGCCUGGGAGUAUUGUCGAAGCUUUGAUGCAUGUUUCACAGUUGAGGUGGUACGGUGAAGGAAGUUCCAUAUAUAGAUGAAGGGUGAGAUGCUUCUGCUAUGUUCUUGAGGUGACAUUAGUGGCAUCUGAUUCCGAUACCAUAAAGUAGAACAGCAAAGCAAGAACAUGCGUGGAUGGUACCCAGAAAUACGGGGAUAUGGAAGGCGUCUUGGAGAUUGACGUUUUGAAGUUGAUGAUUAAUUGGGUUGACAUGCGUUAGAAGAAGCAUCGCUUGGCUUUCAAUAAUAUCUUUGCGAGAACUAGGAUUGAGCUAUAAAGGACCCUUCGAGAUGAAUCGGGUGGCUUUACUUAUACAUUGUGUAGAGUGUCAAGAUUCUGAUAAUAGCUUGUGAUGGUACGGUUGCGACUAGUUCAAACUUCACAAGCAAAAUCCCAUCCUCCAUAUUGUAGAAGGGAGUCAAAAUUGUAUAAGAUACAGUAUAUGGAUUGUAGCGGACCUUAAAAAUAAAUGAUACGUAUAAAUCGAAGGAAAUUAUGACCAAAUAGUAAAUGCUUCCCUUGCUCAAAACCCACAAAGAGAAUCAAUUCAAACCCCUAAUCAAAAGUUGUAUAACGCCUUGAUUCCUUGAAUAUCAUCCGCAUGGAGACCUUUGGUAGUCCCAGGAGCUAUGGAGGAGUACAUGAUGGCCCCUUCAACAUCGCUGUGCCCUAGCCCAAGGAGGUGACCGAUCUCGUGUAAAGCCACCGUCUCCACGUUAAAAGCGGCCGAGCCGGAGGGUGGAUCAACGGCCCACUUCUCAUCCGCGUCGUAGUGGAACAGCCCGACUGUUGGCGGAAACGCGUGGGCAAGAGUUCCUCCGGGGCCAUCGAAGCUGUUGUGUGCACCGUCUCCAUGGUCUCCUCUUGCAAACCCUAUCUGUAUGUUGGCAAUUUCAUGGUCCUCGACGUACGAGAAAGUGAAGCGUGUCACCGAGGUCCAAGUGGCAAAAGCCCGGGCAACUGGGGCCGUGGCAGCCUCUGGGGUCCCUGGGAGGAAGCCAUAGGUGAGAUGGUAAUUAGAGGCCGGCCAUCUAGGGCUUCCCUCCAAGAACGCAUAGUGAGACACGGUAUGGAAAGAUCCGAUCCCACGGAGGUUCCGCCCUUUCUUUCCGAACCCCAUGCGGGUGGUUCCAUUAAUGAUGUCCGCCACGCCGCAUCGUGGUCUCAUCAUUUUGGACGUAGUCUGGGGAUCCAAAGUUCCCGUGACAUUCAGAUGAUAAUUGAGUUGGUACGUCUUAACAGCAAAUUCUAACAGGUCGUCGAAGUCGUCGUCGUCGGCAUGGAUUGUCGGAUGACCGGAUUGGUUGUAAUUCAAAUAACCAAAUUUCUCGAGGUAUCUCUUGAGCUCGCGAAUGCCUCCGGUAUGAUUGCCCUUGUGACAUCCCUGAAGGUGCUGGAGGAACUCAAAGGGCGAUUUUAUUUGGUCAUCUGAAUGUGCUGAGGCGGCGUGAAAGAGGGAAGUGAGGAGGAGCAAGUAUGAGAAGGUGGAAAAGAACAUAGCAUCCAUGGCUGAACUGAUGAACGCGCACUCUUCUAGCAGAGAAUGAAUGUUUUAUGCAUUGUUGCCGUAUCGAAGGAGGCCUAUUUAUGGAUACAUGUCCCUUUUGAGGUGUAGCAGUAGCUAGGUCAUAAGGUCCCUUCGAAAUUGAAAUGUUCAUGAAUGGAAGAAACCGCAAGUACGUACUAACAGACAACGACCGCAUCGAUCUUCGAGAAAAACGCGUAUAAGACUGGGAAUUCGAGGAAAGAAACCCUGAGUACGGUACUAAAAACGACCUUUACUAGGUCUUUGAGAAGAAGACGUGUAAGACUGGGAACCGAAGAAGUAAUAUUGUUAGAACUCAAUUGUUAAUUUUAUGUAUUUCAUAGAGAAAGCCUCGCAGACAUUGACCUAGUCUUUGAUCCCCACUUAAGUAUCGCGAGCCAAACACAAUGCUAAAGCAUUGUGUUAUAUAAUUCAAAAGAAUCGACACGUGGGAUUCCUAUAUUGCGUGUGAAAAGCCACAAAUGCUGCAUAGGUACAUUCUAGUUUUAUUAAAUGCAAGUAGUCCCUGAACUUUCUAAUAUGUAAUAUAGUUCCCAAACUUUAGUAUAAUUUACAAUGUCAUCUUUAAACUUUUAAUUUGUACAAUAUAGUUCUUAAACUAUUAGUAAAUGUUCAAUAUAAUCAUUUUGUUUGCAUGAAAUUCAUAAAAUUUAUGGACUAAAUUGAAUAUUUACCAAAAGUUUAAGGACCACAUUGAACUAACUAAAAGCUUAAGGAUGAUAUUACACAUUGAACCAAAAUUCAAGGACUACAUCGAACAAAUUAAAAGUUCAAAGAUGACAUUGGACAUUUUAAUUAAUUUUCAAGAAUCAUUUGUGUAAUCAUCACUUUCAUUAAAGAUGCGGUGUAUUGCCGAUGAUAGUGCAAAUCAAUCUAUAAGAAGAUUUGUGUUUUAAGUGGGACCCUGUAUGAAUUCUAUAUCUCCUUAUGUGAUUAACUCGAUUGAGGAUAAGGCAAUGUUGAGAUAACUAAUUAAUCAUCAGUCUACUAUCAUAUGGAGCAACAGCCACUGCCCCUUAGUAUUGUUGUUGUUGUUGUUUUUUUUGGGUCAAAGGAAGUUUUAUUGAACCAAAACAGUCUUAAACAUUCAGGCUUACAAUAGGAGCAUCAAGACAAAGCAAGUCCCACAGUGGCUGAGGGGAUGUGCUACCCAAUUAGGAAGUAAAAGGUUGAGUUUUCAAGUUUAGCAGCCCAAUCCUUUACUCGGUUAUUCUCUACUACAAUAGACAAUCGUCGGAUUAAUAAAAAGGCCCAUUAAGUCACGGGCUCCCGAGAUAAGCACGUUGACUUUCCAAGGCAACCUGAAUGCCGAAGCUCUCCCAUUUUUCAUCGCAGCUCGUCGGGAGAAUAGGGGAAAAAAUUGAACCCAGAAAUCCAAAAUCUGCCCGCGACUUCCUCUGUUCGUCUUCCGCUUCGUCUUUCCGGCGGCCCAGCUCCAGAUCUGGAGAAGAGCCUCGUCCAUGGCGGUGACAAGCGAGGUCGGGAUCCCGGCUGUGAUUGGGCUCUGGUGGUGUUGGGGAUGGGGGUGGAACUCAGCUCGCCGCCGGCGGGACUACCGUGGCGAGGGGUAAGGGCUCAUGGGAGGAGGAUUGCGACGGACCGGCGAGGUCGACCUCAACCUCAUCAGCCGUCACCUCUGGCCGGUUGCCGAGGUCCAGCGACCGGCUAGAGGAAGAAGAGGAGCAGAAAAAAAAAAAUUAAAAUUAAAAUUAAAAUUAUUAAAAUAUUAUUAAAAGUUGUUCACAUUAACGCCAAUUAGGCUACAUCAGCCGGCCGGCGUCUAGUCAGCAAAAUCCGGCCAAAAUUGGCCGAAAAAGACUGAAUUGGCAUAACGUAAAAAGACUUGGGACUGAAUUGGUAAAUCGGCACAAAGACAAAAGGUUUAGGACUUUUUUUGUACUUUUCCCUCUUUUCAACUUUUCAAGUAACUCUCUCUCCCCCCUUCUUUUUCGGAGAAAAUAUUCGCUUGUUUCUCACCACAUCAACAAGAAGACGGAAUUUAUCUUCCUCCAUCUUCUCUAGAAAAUCGAACAUUGGAGCGAUUUUCAUCAAUGCAGAUCAAGCGACAGGAAUAACCUCGGACAACCAGGGCAAGGGGAGUGGGAGAUUAUUCGCAGUCUCCAAAAAGAAUGGGGUGCAUGCUGUUGGUCCUCCUCUCUGAUGUUGUUCAUCUUGUUUCUCUUGCUAGACUGAGUAUGCACAUACUCUGGUUGUCGGGGGCAUAAUUUACGCCAUCACAGAUGUUGAAGAACUGGGCGAAUGGAUGAAGGGCUGUUAGGAAAACCACCCAUAUUUGAUGCACUGACGAAGGAAGAACUCGUGAACGAUCCAGUGGUGAAGCUAUUGACCAGCGCGAUCGAGGAAGGCCAAAAUGUUGCCAGGAAUGGUGGGCGGACAUUUCAAGCAGAGUGCAGACGCAUUGCCCCAUCUCUAUGAUAGAAAUCAACUAAUGGCUUUAUGUUUGUGUAUCAGCAGUAAUUUUUUGGGACCAUCCUAAGUGAACUUUCAUGCAUUGUUUGGGAUCCUUUGAAAGAAUGAGAUAUUCUUUAUAAUGCAAAAGAGAAAUUGCAUACCUGUUUCUUCAUUUCUUCUUAUGCCUUCGUGUUUUUUUUUCCUCUCGCCAUUUUGUACUUUAUUUUUUUGGCCAACUAUGCAUUCACGUUAUCAUUGCAUUUAAAGCUUCACCACUUUGAAGAUUCCAUCAACCAGAAUUUUUUUAGCAGCAAUAAAGCUUUAGUAUGAAGACUUGACAGGGACGGCAUAAUUAGCCAUCUAUUUCGAUCUACAAAUAUGCAUUGUUAACGAAAUGCUACGAGCGACCGUAAAAAUUUGCCGCUUUCAAUGUGCUUCUUCUCACAUCCGACGAUAGAGCUUUCAUCCUUUUAGAGCAUCAAUGAUUAGAGUUUGCUAUUGUGAUGUCAAAAGGCCAAUCAUAUAUGGUCUAAGAUAGAGGCGAUGAAGAAGGAACUGUCGUCAUCUAUCUGUGCACAUAGGUUCAAUUCUUCUUUGCUGGUUCAUGCCGUGACGUGCAAUCUCAAAUCCGACUAUAGAGUUUUCUUCAUUAUUGUUCAUCAGAGAAGCACAAACGCACCCAACCUCAUCAACAAAGAGUGUUCAUUCCACUAGACUUAGCUCUCAAAUAUACGGCGACGAACUAUGCUUCCACGAGAAACCCACACUAGGUAACAAAUGGUGGUAGGCAGAGACUCGCCGCCCUUCUAGCGUCUUCUCGUACUCCUCGAUGGGCUUGAAGAGCUCCGAGAAGUUGCCCUUCCCGAACCCUCCGCAACCGCCCUUAUGAUACAGUUUCCCGUGAUCGUCCGUGAGCAUGCACCCCACUCUUUAUAUGAUCUCUAUGAAUAUGGUCGGCCUGCACAGUCAGGCAGCAAGAGAAACCAGAUGAACAACAUCAGAGAGGAGGACCAACAGCGUGCACCCCAUUCUCUUUGGAGACUACGAAUAAUCUCUCACUCCCUGUGCGCUAGUCGUCCAAGGUUACGCUUGUUGCUUGAUCUGCGUUGAUGGAAAUCGCUCCAACGUUUAAUUUUCUGGAAAGAUGGAGGAAGAAAAAUGCCGUCUUCUUAUUUCUUACCUUUACCAAAAAAAAAAUGCCGUCUUCUUGUUGAUGCAAGUGAGAAACAAGCGAAUAUUUUCUCCGAAAAGGGGAGAGAGAGAGCAGGUGAACAAGCCUAUUGCUUGAAAAAUUGAAAAGAUGAGAGAGAAAAGAAAAGAGGGGAGAGAGAGCGCCUGGGUAAACAAGCCCCGAAAAAUUGAAAAGAUGAGAGAGAGGGUUUUGAGCGGAGACAAGCAUUUAUUAUUCCUUCUGUCAGUGAUUUGCCAGAGAAGAGAGAAAAGAGCGUCCUAGCCCUUCCGAUUUUAAUUUUUCAAUUUCUACAUAUUUCAGCUCACGGACAGAUGUCACUUUCUCAGUGAAAUAUGCACGCCACGUCAGCCGAUGACGUUGUGGUUACUAACCACUGAAUAUUUUCUCAGAGCAGAGGGACAGUGCCCAAAGCCUUGUUACAUUGCAACUGUAAACUACUGUGUAAGAAAGUAUAACACUCACUUUAACACUGUAAAGUACUACUGCAUGCCAUGACCAAAUUUAUUCCUGCACGAACAACACUAGUGCAUUUGGAUCCCGGUUAGAACUGUCUGAAGGUCUUCCAUUUGCUCAGCUGAAGCUUCGCCGGCUUUUGCCCAGCAGAGCUAUCAGCAUUAGCUUCUAACUCAGCAGAUCCUCCACGGCCUUCGUUCUUUUUACGGUCCCGCUCCGACACUGCCUCGACCUUCUGCCGAGGAAGAUCAUUCUGGUACUGGCCGAGCAGAGCCCCGUUUUGGACUUCGUUGGAGGCCGGCUCAUUCUUGAAGGCUCUGUACACGUUCGGGUAUUGAGAGAUAUCGGGAUUGACGCUAAGCGUCCUUGACAUUCUCGAGAUGUGUUCGAGGUAAUCAUCGGAGGUGGUGUUCCAGCCAGGGAUGGAACUGGGAGUAUUUCCUAAGCUUCGACGCAUGUUUUCGCCUUUGCAGUGGUAUAGCGAAGGAACUUCCAUUUAUACAUGAAGGAGUGAGAUGCUUGUGCUAUGUUCUUGAAGCGAC
rnacentral:lncRNA from 1 species